UUGUCGAUGUGUAGAUGAUUUAUUAACCAAGACCCCAGUCCACAGAUAGAAGCAAACAUCUUUUACAUGCAAUGCCACCACAAAUCUUUGUCUACAUGAAAUACAAAGCUUUUUUUUUAUUUAUUUUUUUAUUACUAUUAUUUUUUUAUACAUACAGCUUGGUAACUUACACAAAAGAUUAAGUUGUUGGAAGCAACUCUGGAAACAAUGUAAAACAGGAUAUGGAGUUGAGUUAUGAAUACAAUAGGUUUGUAAAGGAAAAAUACACCCAAACUGGAGGUUAGGCUCACUCAAGUCUGAAUAAUAUGCGAUAUACUGCCGUGUUCAGGCAUCUAUGUCCAUAAAACUAUAUUACUUAACAAAAUAGCUGCCUCCUGUGCCAUUUCUUCAGUAACUAGAGUAUGUUCAUUGUUCAAUAUGACUUUACAAUUGAUAUAUAAAAUAUUCUAGAUAAAAAGUUAUUCAACGGUGAAAAUAUAAUUCACUACUCUUGGAUCAAUACUGAAUGCCAGUCUGUACUAUAGUCCAGGACGCCACUCACAGUUCAGCUGGUCGCUAUCAGAAACAGUCAACCAGGUUGUCUAACAGCUCGGCUGAGCUCCUCUAUUAGAUAGCUAUUAAGAUGAUACUUUACCCGGACACAAAUCGCUAGACAAAGCACCAUGCACAUGCUUGGACAUUCAAUAGUUUCAUGCCUGCAGAAUUGUGAAUACAGCUCUGGACUACCAUACAGAUUGUACAGAUAAGUAACCAAUGUAUUUCGCAAAGGUACUUCAUUUUAUGUAGAUUAAUUCUAUAUGUAAACUGUUUUGGUAUUUGAACGUGGACAUACCUUUUAAAGGGAAUCUGUCACCAGCGACCUCCCAAUCCAGCUGUAUGGACACAUAGCUGUGGAUCACCUGAUUAAAACGCCGUUUUUGUUUUGUGGGUCUGAGGCUCCAUUCCCUAAUUAUGAUAACUUUUCUUAAUUUACAGAUUAGGACUUUGGAGCAAUGAGGGUGUCACCAUUGUUCUUGUUGCACCCAAGCGCUGUUCCUUUCUGUGGCCAACCCCUUCCUCGCUGCUUUGCCACUGCCUGGCCAUGUCAAUCAAUACAAUGAAAAAAAGUGGAGGAUGGGUGCAACAAAAGCACUAGUGGCGCCCUCAUUGCACUAAAGGCCUAAUUUGCCUAUUAAGAAAACGUAUAUCAUCAACGUAUCGGGAACGGAGCCUCAUAUCAACAAAAGAAAAACAGCGUUUUAAAUCAGGUAAACUGUGUGUCUGUGCAAACAGUUGGAUAGGGAGGUCACUGGUGAAAUAUUUUUAAAUAACUGAGUCAAAUGAAGCCUAACAUAUUUUGGGUAUAGUAUCCCUUUAAUAGUAAAAUGGAUAUGAACGUGUUCAACUUUGGAGAGGCACUAAAAAUCGGAAUCGUGUCAAUGAGCAUGUACACAUCUAUAGAGCAUAAAAAGAAUAUUUCAAAAUAAAUAAAAGGUCCACGUCGGCCUCAAAGUCAUCCACAAAACAAUAGCUAAUCCCACCCAACGCUGUAUUUCAAAGACAAACAUCUGAUUGACCAUGGUCGACCAAUUCUAGACUGAGGGCAGCCGCACAGAACGCUAAAAACAAGUAGAUAGAUCUCAGCGGAUAUUAGCGUUGGCUGGUUUCAGUCAGUAGGUGGAUACGAGUUGUCAUAUGUGUCCUGACGAUCGCUCAGACUGAUCCUCUUGUUAGACUAUGGCUUCUUUAGUAGAGUGGAUGAGCCGGAAAUCAAAUUUCAGAACGUUAAUGACUAACUACUAAGUGGACUGAGUGGAGGAUAAUGGAAUACACUUAUAGCAACAAAUGGUUCCCAGAUGAAAUAUGUUCCUCUUUUCUACAAAUCCUUCUAAUAUUCAAAUUAUAAUAAUUUUGGACUGGCAUGAGUGGGCUCUUCGGGAGGAUGAGGUCAUGCAGAAAAACAGUCAAGAAUACUUGGCAUUUUACAUUUGAUUGGGCUAGACAGUUUUUUCCGCAUGACUUCCAGAAUUACAUUUAAAGGGCAUCUCUAGUUUUCGAUAAAAAUAAAAAAAAAAUUACCUACAGCAGUAAAUCUCCCGUAUACUUUGUUAACCUUCUGUGACCCAUUUGUUAAUAUAACCUUCAGAUCCACCUUCUUCACUAUGUAAUUCCGCACAGAACGAUCUCUAUGCCUCCAGAGCUUCUUUAUUCACUGUGCGCCCUCCUUAUGACAGGCAGCCUAUAACCGUCAAUAGGUGGCGUACAUCAAUCAAAUCUCACUAUGGAGGCAGAGGGGACACUGCGGAGAUUGACACAGCAUGAAGCAGGGACCAGUGACUGUACUGCAAUAAGUAAGAUCUACCUGCAAACUUUCUUGUAAGUUCCUACUAUAUUGAACACAACAGCAACUGGUCCUCUAUAGCCCGACAGUGAUUUAAAGAGCAAAUUUGCUCAAUUUGCAGAAUGUUGCCAUUUUAAAGCUGUUCUUCUCUUGAAUGGAAGCAGCGCUGCAGUAAGCAACUCCAUCUACUACACAGUGGAUGGAGAGGUGUAGUUCCAGUGCUCGUUUCCGACGUCUGAGCUACUGCCUGGAGUCAGACCCCCCCCCGCUGAUCUGAUAUUAACACCCAUCCUAAGCAUAGGUCAUCAAUAUAAAAAGUCCCGGAGAACCCCUUUAAAUUUAGAUGGAGAAACCCUCUUUAAAACUAUCCCCAUUAUGGAGUCUAAUCAAUUUCCGUUUAUUAAAGGCUUUGUACAUAUUCUAUUGUUUCGAGAAACAGUGCCACUCCUGUCCAUGGGCUGUGUCUUGUAGUGCAUCUCACCCGACCCCAAGGGAAUGGUACUUAGGGUUCAUUUGAGUAGAUUUUUUUUUUUUUUAGAAGGAAAAUGUUAGGAGGAUUUCCUGAUGUAGAAGUCUGGGUUCAUAUUGUGUCUGAGCCCUCAGCUGGGCUUUUUGUUGUGGGUGUACGUUUAAAUACCCAAACCCUGUAUUCGAAGAUAUAACCCAACGCAUACAGUCAUGCUCCAAGGGGCUCAUUUGCAUGUAUUCACAACAGGUCAGCCAGUUACAUAGGUACAAAUCUGUUGACAGAUUUCCUUUAAAUGUACUCUGCUAAAGGAAUGCCCAGGAGGGCUAAAAUGCAGAAGGCUGUGACAUGGGCAUACAAUGCCAUAGUUUGCCGCUCUGCACAGAAUACCAUAUUCCAUAAACUAGAGGAAACAAAGUUAUACAGACGCAUUUUGGCUUGAUGUAUGCCAAAGGGGCACUCUUGGCAUUCUCCGGUUGAAUGGGUCCCUAUAGCUAUAUUCGGUGAACCUAUGAAGUGCGUACAAAGUCUUAUGUAAUACCAGACAUAGCCUAUGAAGAGUUGCGCUGUUUCUGGAAAAUAGUUUUAAUGAUUAUAUAGUGAACACGUUAUCUUACAGGUAGGAAAAUUAUUUUCCGCAAAUUUCACUAAAUCGGCACCGGUGUGGCCUGUACUCACUGUAAUACUAAAGACUGCUUUACUUCAAAAUCGGCAAAUUCUGACAAUACCUGUAGUACUUAAGUCGCAGGGCACAUCUUAGCCAGAGGAUAAAAAAAAAAAAAAAAAAAAAAAUGUUUUCAUCAUGUUAAAAUGAAAUGACAUAAUAGAGUAUGCAGUUGAACUACAUGCAAUAUUGUGAUAAUCUCCCGCACAUAAUUGUAGGGGUACGUUAUGUAGUGUCAGCCCCGCUAGCGCGCAAAAAAAAAAAAAAAAAAAGCAAGAGGAGUCUGGAAUGCAAUAUAUCUAUGCAUGCUAUACUAACAUGGCAAACUUGGACAGUGCUGUCACAAAGUCCUUGUCACAAAAAAUGUUCGGAGAGAAUACAAUGAAAGAUAAUUAAUGAGUGUGAUCUGUUUAAUAUAUCAAGGUAUAUAUUUCCUGCUCUGUGUAAUGAAUUCCAGUUCAACCAUAACAGUGCAAAUUGUGCAGCCCGGGAGAGGGCACCAGCAUCUCAUAUAAGUCUGCAGAAGAUCCUAGGCCGACUUGCUGAUAACCACUGACUAUACUUCCCAUCUACCGCCAUUACCAUUCUCUCUUGUGGUACAAUGCAGUGCUUCACUUGUAAUGGACAUCAUGGAGGGAGAACAGUACGCACAGGAAGCCAUAAUGUCUGUGUAACAGCAGAAUGCAUAUAUGUGUACAUUAAACUAAAUUCAACUUGCCUGUGUGCACAAGGCUCCAUUUUGCCAGGGAGGGGGUUCUUAAAAAAAAAUCCAAAAUGUAUGGAGCAGCUCAUUAUUUCCCAUCAGAAGUGGAAAAGUUUAACUGUACUAUUGAAUGCCUGAAGUUUGGAAGGGCGUCUGCAAAUAAGAGGCAUCAUUUUCAUUUUGGACUUAUUACUAGUUAUUAGUAAUAAGAAAUUUAUAUAACAAUUCUAGCACCUAAAAUAAUUUAUAGGAUGAAAUAGUACUUGGCCAUUAGAAUUUAGUAUGGUUAAAAAAAAAUAAAAGUUCACUUGCCGUACACAGUGUAAAAGUAAGAAAAGAUAGCAUAGUAAACUUCUUCAGGCCAAAGGCAGUACCCACAGAAAGCAUUAAAAAGUUUACUUAAUGAAAAAUCAUGCAGCAUAACCUGUAGAUUUUCCCCUAUAAACUUCAUAGGUUGAUAGAAUUUUUUUAGAUUGCUCAAAAGGAACAGUUAUUACUUAGUACGUCGCUGCUUUACUAUUGCUUCUUGAGAAGGUAAGACCACAGAAACGCUGCAAUAAUGACUAGAAUUUGACCCAUCCUUUGAUUUGGGCAUCUAGGUAAGCUAUCUGACACCUUCAUUGAUAUCAUCAGCAUUUUACCGCUCCGGAUGCACGUG